rnacentral:tRNA from 1 species
GGGGGCGAAUGGGUCCUGGUGGGCCCCGAGGACUUCAAAUCCUUCCGUCGGGCGCUAACACCGUCCGAGGUGGGUUCGAUUCCCACGCGUUCCCGCCA